GACGAACGCUGGCGGCGUGCUUAACACAUGCAAGUCGAACGGAAAGGCCCUGCUUUUGUGGGGUGCUCGAGUGGCGAACGGGUGAGUAACACGUGAGUAACCUGCCCUUGACUUUGGGAUAACUUCAGGAAACUGGGGCUAAUACCGGAUAGGAGCUCCUGCUGCAUGGUGGGGGUUGGAAAGUUUCGGCGGGUGGGGAUGGACUCGCGGCUUAUCAGCUUGUUGGUGGGGUAGUGGCUUACCAAGGCUUUGACGGGUAGCCGGCAUGAGAGGGUGACCGGCCACAUUGGGACUGAGAUACGGCCCAGACUCCAACGGGAGGCAGCAGUGGGGAAUAUUGCACAAUGGGCGGAGGCCUGAUGCAGCAACGCCGCGUGCGGUAUGACGGCCUUCGGGUUGUAAACCGCUUUCGCCUGUGACGAAGCGUGAGUGACGGUAAUGGGUAAAGAAGCACCGGCUAACUACGUG
rnacentral:rRNA from 1 species